GUGGGCAAUCUGCCCUAAAGACUGGGAUACCACUUGGAAACAGGUGCUAAUACCGGAUAACAACAUGAAUCGCAUGAUUCAAGUUUGAAAGGCGGCGUAAGCUGUCACUUUAGGAUGAGCCCGCGGCGCAUUAGCUAGUUGGUGGGGUAAAGGCCUACCAAGGCAAUGAUGCGUAGCCGAGUUGAGAGACUGAUCGGCCACAUUGGGACUGAGACACGGCCCAAACUCCUACGGGAGGCAGCAUG
rnacentral:rRNA from 1 species